AAAGAUAGAGGCGCGGAAUUUAUCAGUACCGGCGCGGAGGCUGCGGAGCCUUUGAAACGCCGCGAAAGGGAAUUUCGCCGAAAUGCGCAUCACGUCCGCGCGGGUGCGUGUUGGGUAUAUUGCAAACAGCAAUAUAACUGUCACUAUAACAAAUAGUGGAGGGCUAUCGC
rnacentral:ncRNA from 1 species